UACGAAGGGGGCUAGCGUUGCUCGGAAUCACUGGGCGUAAAGGGUGCGUAGGCGGGUCUUUAAGUCAGGGGUGAAAUCCUGGAGCUCAACUCCAGAACUGCCUUUAAUACUGAAGAUCUUGAGUCCGGGAGAGGUGAGUGGAACUGCGAGUGUAGAGGUGAAAUUCGUAGAUAUUCGGAAGAACACCAGUGGCGAAGGCGGCUCACUGGCCCGGUACUGACGCUGAGGUGCGAAAGCGUGGGGAGCAAACAGG
rnacentral:rRNA from 1 species